UCUUUUUGUUAGGAUUCACCACUGCUAGCUCAGAAGGGCUAAACCCAAGCUUUAUUUUUGCAUCAGAUUCAGUCUUAACAUUUUGAGUAUCAAUUGUCCAAUAGCUCUUUCUCUUGGAACUGUUGUCUGUAACUUCCACAGUCUUUAAAUUGGUCUUGACAAAGGAAUUAUCCACACUAUCUGCAUCAAGAUCAAGAUGGUAUAUGUAAAUGUAAUAAUGGUCAUGGUAAACACCAAUGCUCUGUUCUGACACUAAAGUUCCAUGUUGAUCCUCAUUUAUCUCAUCUGUGUGCUUAAUAUCCACUGCCUUAAUUUCCAACAUGCCUGAUAAUGAUAUCUUCACAAAUCACAUAGAAUUAAGUUAAGGCCUCAUAUUAAAUAGAAGUGUUGCCUAUAUAUGACAAAUAUGAUUAAAAGUAACAUGUAAUGUAAGGAAACAGAACAUACCGCAGGUUUAAUUAAACCACUUGGCUUGAAUUCCCAGUCCAUUACAUUAUCAUAGUUGCCAACAGUAACCACUGAUCUAACCACAUUCGAAGCUUUUUGUUCAUAACCUAUUACUCUCGUGUUUUGGUGGUGAUAAGGUGGGGUUUUGAUGGCUGGGUGUGGCCAUCAAAACCGGAGCGAGGUGGUACUUCGAAGGAGAGUGACUGCCUAUGGAAUGGGAGAAGAUUUUCCCCAUCUUGCAAUCUGGCACACAUACAUCAAUAGUCAAGGAGCUCCUCCCUUACAUCACCAGACUCUUAUGCAACAUAUGGUGUUUUGGAUGCUCAGAGAAUGGAGAAGUAAAGACAUGGGGUUGGGGUGAGCAUGGUCAACUUGGCUUGGGAGAUACUUGUGACAGGAUCAGUCCUGAUACAGUAAGUCUCGGGUAUGAUCUGAAUGAAGCUGCAUCAAUCAGAGUUUACUACGGAAGUGGCUUCACGUUUGCUCUAACCAUGCCAUAAGGUCUUCCCAAACUUGAUGAUGCUCUACUUUUACGGUGGCAGUGUAUAGAAUGAUGAUACACCCCAAGGCAUGCCAAUCUCUCUGCAUGUUUAACAAAGAAACACCUUUAAAAAAUCCAUGAACAUAACACCAAUAAUAGGCCAAGAAAGUGGCCCUAUUUCAAAUGUUGUCUUGGGAUGACUAAGUGCCCCUGAAAUUUCUAACAUUUCUUUGAAGCCAAAGUGUCUAAAGAACAGCAAAGACAGCUCUGCUACAGAAUUUUCAGAUUCUUUACGAAAGCCAAAUCCCUUAAAUUCAAUAAGGAGACUCCGAUUCAAGUUCUUAGAGCUGAUCCAAUUGUCACAGAAAAUUAGUUUUAAGCUCUGGUUUUCUCUGUUUUUGUAUUAAGCAAACAUUGUGGAGGUUCUUUCCACCGGCAUGAAUGUGAUAUAGUACUCGUGUUGUGCA